UGAGUACGAGAUGCUACGGCAUCGAAGCAGUCUAUGUCAUACUUCCAAGAAAAGCUUGCACUGUCAGAAACAGAUAAUGCCUGUACCAUAACCGACACAGGUGGGUAGGUAGAGUAUACUAAGGGGCGCGAGAUAACUCUCUCUAAGGAACUCGGCAAAAUGACUCCGUAACUUCGGGAGAAGGAGUGCCUUAUUUUUAAGGUUGCAAUAACAAGAUCCAAGCAACUGUUUACCAAAAACACAGGUCUCCGCUAAGUCGUAAGACGAUGUAUGGGGGCUGACGCCUGCCCAGUGCCAGAAGGUUAAAGAAGUCGGUUAGCAUUCGCGAAGCUGGUAACUGAAGCCCUGGUGAACGGCGGCCGUAACAAUAACGGUCCUAAGGUAGCGAAAUUCCUUGUCGGGUAAGUUCCGACCCGCACGAAAGGCGUAAUGAUUUGGAUACUGUCUCGGAGAGGGGCUCGGUGAAAUAGACUUGUCUGUGAAGAUGCGGACUACCUGCACCUGGACAGAAAGACCCUAUGAAGCUUUACUGUAACUUGAAAUUGAAAUUGGACUUUAUUUGCGCAGUAUAGGUGGGAGGCGUUGAAAAUAUUCUUGCGGGAAUAUUGGAGCCAUCAGUGAGAUACCACUCUUGUAAUGUUAGAUUUCUAACUUUAUAUCAAUAUCUGGUUAAAGAACAGUUUCAGGCGGGCAGUUUGACUGGGGCGGUCGCCUCCCAAAUGGUAACGGAGGCGCACAAAGGUUUCCUCUGAACGGGUAGAAAUCGUAUCUAGAGUGUAAAGGCAUAAGGAAGCUUGACUGUGAGACCUACAAGUCGAGCAGGGACGAAAGUCGGUCUUAGUGAUCUGACGGUGCUGAGUGGAAAGGCCGUCACUCAACGGAUAAAAGUUACUCUAAGGAUAACAGGCUGAUCUCCCCCAAGAGUUCACAUCGACGGGGAGGUUUGGCACCUCGAUGUCGGCUCAUCGCAUCCUGGGGCGGUAGUACGUCCCAAGGGUUGGGCUGUUCGCCCAUGAAAGCGGUACGCGAGCUGGGUUCAGAACGUCGUGAGACAGUUCGGUCCAUAUCCGGUGUAGGCGUUAGAAUAUUGAGAGGAGCCUUCUUUAGUACGAGAGGACCGAGAAGGACAUACCUCUGGUGUACCAGUUAUCGUGCCAACGGUAAACGCUGGGUAGCUAUGUAUGGAGUGGAUAACCGCUGAAAGCAUCUAAGUGGGAAGCCCACCUCAAGAUAAG
rnacentral:rRNA from 1 species